UGAGUCAGUUGGGUGAACAAGGUUCAUAUCCUUAAUGCUCCACGUGUUGUAGACAACAGGAGCAAAACAAUUUUCCUCUGCGUCUUUUUUCGGUCAGACUAUGAUCUGUCCCGCAGAGUAUGAUUAUGUUGUCUCUGUUCUGUUUUUUAUUUUAAGCUGUCAAUAUAACGACGCAUGGUGAGACCCAGAUGCAGACCCAGAUGCAGACCCAGAUGCAGACACAGGAGGCAGAAGUUUUGAGUCACUGAUAUUUAUUAAAUAACAAGAGGCUGGUCGAGGACAGGUAAAAGUGAAUUAACCAGGUCAGGGAGGCAGGCAGGCAGGCUCAAGGUCAGGUCAGGCUGAAUGUUCAGGCAGGCGGGCUCAGUGUCAGGGCAGGCUGAAUGUUCAGGCAGGCGGGCUCAGAGUCAGGUCAGGCUGAAUGUUCAGGCAGGCGGGCUCAGAGACGGGGCAGGCUGAAUGUUCAGGCAGGCGGGCUCAGAGUCAGGGCAGGCAAAAAGUCAAAACCAGGAGCACAGAAAAAACCACACUGGCUGACUUGACAAGACAAACUGGCAAAAGACAGGAAAAUCAAGAAGUUUAAAUGAGAUUUGGAAGAUAAGAACAACGGACUAAUAUCUCUGGCGAGACUAUAAACGCAGAAACCAAAAAACGGAAGAGACAACCCGAUGACAGACGCAGAGUGACUCUGUCAGACCAACAAUCCACAGACAGCGCUAACUCUGGCUCCUCUACCAGCGCUGAGUGUUUUAUCUACAACAGAGGGCGGGGACACCGGGGACAACGUCGAGGCCAACACCCCAGCAUGUAAGAGGGUUCGACACAUACGUCAGGAGAAGAAGAAAUCCACUACCACCCAUGACACCUAUCAAUUGAGACGCAGGAAGAGCCCCCAGUCCAACAGGAGCUAAAUAAGUCUUCAACUUAUCAAUGAGAUGUAUACAUACAGUAGGUCUACCAGGCUAAUCAAUAGACUUACCUGUCCUACCGUGAGUCAAGGAGGAGAUGGAGCCAUUAACCCAGCUGAGGCAUUGAGCAUGUUGCUCUACCAAGGAGAGGAGGAAACAUCGAGAUCCUACUACUACAAAGAGAGGUUUACUGGAUAUCCUAUCUAAAAACAUUGACCCCAGUUGUCUGAAUAUUGACUUUGAUCUCAGGCCCUUCUUAUGAACACUUUUUCCUUUAUGAACAAGUCUUACCAAUUGAAAAACAUUUUUUACAGCUUAUUAAGCAUAUACCUUAUAUGUUCCCCCUGUUGGUGAUGCUCAUUAUAUAUUAAGGUUGAACCAAUAUUACAUGUAACGUGAAAUAUGUAAUUAUGUGAAAUUGAAUGAAACAAUAAUGUAUGUUGAUGCUAAUAUGAUGUAC
ensembl:lncRNA